rnacentral:lncRNA from 1 species
CAUGUCACCUGAAUGCCAUUUUCUCAAGGGCCUAGAACUUGAAACUCAAGUUAUUGCUUGUACAGCGUAAUUCACAAUGUCCAGAUCACUCUCAUUCACUUCAGCUGGAGCUAAUAUAAUACAUUUAGCAGAAAAUGAACCAACUUCCUUCAAUUAACUCCUCCAGCUGACUCCUCCCAGUGCCCUGAGAGCUGACCCAAGGAUGAGUGAGGGGUAGGUCUGGAAUGACACGUUAAUGGCAUUCCUUUCUGCUUAUUCCCACCUUAACACCACACGCUGGCUAUAAAAGAAAUCCUCAGCCUUACUUACAGUCUCCCUUCCCCCAUCUGUGCACUCCUGACAGAGUUCCCAAAUAAACCUUGAAACCCACUAUCAGUUGUAAAACCUCUAAUCAAUGAAAGACACAGGAGCCAGUAAUAUGAAACCCUUUGCCUCAAGAUCUCAGCGCUUCUUGCUGAACAUCAAUCUUUGAGGUCAGGUAUUUGAGCUGCUGUUUGGCUUGAUGCUCGGAUGAAUGCAAAGUCAAACAAGGGACAAGCCUGAGUGGGUUUACAAGGCAAGCAGCAUCCUGACUCCUAGCAAAAUGGACACUAAAAGGGCCGUAAUUGGGUAAGAAAGCCCCUGGGGGACUGAUAGCAGGGAAACACGGAGAGAUCUUGUACAGAGGGACCUGGAGCACUGGGCUGCUUUGCUUCCAGGUAUUGAUGAAAAAGCAGGCAGCUCCAAAAGCAAUGACUGCAAAUUACAAGAGGCAUAAUUUGCAAUUAAGUGUUUUAAGAGCAAAGCGUGUGAAAGAUAGCUGCCUCCUACAAAGCCCCUCUAAGUCCGCAGAAUGUCCUCUUGUCUAAGGUGAGCUUAAGAGCAGGCCAGAAGGGAGAGAGCCAGGGAAGGGAGGGGGAAUUCUGAUGCUUGAAACAGGGAAGAGAGGUUACUCAGGGAGGUAAAACUAUAGCUGCGAUGGGAUGGAGUUAAACCAGCAGCACCCGGCUAUUAAACAGAAAGUGCCAAGUUUUUGGUGUCACGUCUCUGGGAAGAGAAAGACCUGUGUUUUUAUGACGGCUCUAAUGUGAAGUGAUUUAGCUCUGGAAAGUGCAUUGCAAUGAAGGAAAAUAAUUGAUUUCUUAUGGUGGAAGGUGGGGUUAGGAAACUUAACACCACUGUCAUAUCGGCGUCUUCUUCUGUGUCCCUCUGCUUUCUUGCUGCUGGGUUCCUAGGGAAAACAGAAUUUUCAGUCCCACAAAUAAUUUCUGUGGGGACAUUUAUGGUUACACUGUUCCUCCCCGAUAGGAUCUUACCCACAACAAAUGGAGAUGAAGAGGUUUUAAUGUCUGCUCUCUUCAAACAGUUUUAUCAACAAACAGCUGAGAACUGUUUACAUUUUAAAGACAGCCUAUUUAGUUAAAAUGCCAUGUGUUCCAAGUACUGCUGUUACCACAAUGCCUCAGGUCAAGUCCAGGAAUACAAAGUGCAAUAAUGUAUAUUAUUCAGAGGUCCUGUUACUGAGGGCUGUUUAGAGACUCAUCUAACCCACCCUGAAGUCAGUGGAAGGGCUUCCUUUGGCUCAAAGGGCUUAAGAGCAAGCAUAUACCAGUUCAGGAACUAGGUGCAAAACAUGUAUUUAUUUGCUGGCAAAAUCCUUUCUUGGGCUGCAAAUUGCAAAUCAAAACCUCGCGCUUAAUCUGGUUUGACAGGUAUUUUGUACUGCACAGAGCAGACGCAAGAGCUGCUCAAACAUUUUUCUUUGGCUUUGUCACUUCCACAGCAUUUGUGAUAUUUGCGUGUAGCCCUUUUAGAAAUCUUUUGCAGUAACACUUCCUGGUAGAACGAGAGAAUCUCAGGCCUGAGAGUAAGGCCUGAUGAUCCCCAGCCUCUACAGUUUUCACUCUGAAUCUGACACAAGUAUAUCAUUGGUGUGGCUCCAAAAGGCUUUGCUGGAAUCCCUCUGAUUUACACCCAUAUGAGAUCAGCAUUAGGCCCCAGUGUUUUCAUUUUUCAUUUGUUAUUCUUGGCCCUACUGUCCUUUUACCACUGUUGAAUACAAUGUUCCUAAAACACCAGAUGUGCUUGUGAGAUGAGGGAAUACUGUGAAAAAAAAAAUAAAUAGAUCACGGGGAUUCACUAAACAAAGCGUUGUUUUCUUUUGCCCUGCAGUCUUAAUGCUGAGCUUUCACACCAGUAUAACUGCUUUUAUUUCUAGAGGACUGUUUCUGAUUACGGUUGAGAAAUGAAGUUUUAAUCCUUUCUAGUAUAAGGACUUCUGUUACAGCAGCUCCUUAUCAGGGUCAGUGUGCAGCACUAGCUUGUAUAAUGACUGAUGCUUAAAUAUAUGACAUUAGGCAUGGAUUGUGUACUAGUUCUGGCUUUCCAGUCACUUUUCUAAUAUUUCAUUGGUAUUACUUACUGGUUCCAUACUCAUAUGGGAUUGUUAUUUCUCUUUCACUACUAAGUGACGCAUAGCUCCCUUAGCGAGAUACCAGCUAAACAGCAAUACCUGUUAUCACGUAGUUUAUACCUGUUAAAACUGGUGGGAGAUUCAAAUCUGCCCCAGCAUCCCUUGAUGUGGGAGGAAGAGCAGGUUCAAAUCUGCAGAGUGCUGACCACUCCAAACUGGAACAGCAAAGCAUUGAGCAAAGUGCUGAGCUUUAGGUGAAUGAGUAAUGUGACCGAACGACCUGGCUGCCUGACUUGCACAGCCAAGCCCUGUGUGAACACAGGGGCUAAGGCUGUGUGAUCACCUGUAACACUUCGUGCUCAAACCUGAGAUCCAGGUGCUAUAGUCAGCUCCUCAGUCAUCUGUUUAAAGGUCUGAGCGCCUUCACUGAUUGUGGAAGUUACAGGGAGUUGUUUUCUCCCACCUAGAGGUGUGUCGUUCAUUGUUGCCACUGAAGACCAGGCUGCAGGACUUCUGCGUUAGCCAGGGCUCGAUUCUGCAAGGUGCAGAGCCCAGGUGUGAGGCAGUGACUGUCCCUUGUUCCCUGCCAUCAGCGGCCCAGGAGAACAGUCAUUGUCCUUCAGGAAUGC